GGUUCGAUUCUGGCUCAGAUUGAACGCUGGCGGGAUGCUUUACACAUGCAAGUCGAACGGCAGCACGGACUUCGGUCUGGUGGCGAGUGGCGAACGGGUGAGUAAUGUAUCGGAACGUGCCUAGUAGCGGGGGAUAACUACGCGAAAGCGUAGCUAAUACCGCAUACGCCCUUCGGGGGAAAGCGGGGGACCUUCGGGCCUCGCACUAUUUAGAGCGGCCGAUAUCGGAUUAGCUAGUUGGUGGGUAACGGCUCACCAAGGCGACGAUCCGUAGCUGGUUUGAGAGGAUGACCAGCCACACUGGGACUGAGACACCGGCCCAGACUCCUACGGGGAGGCAGCAGUGGGGAAUUUUUGGACAGUGGAAACCUGAUCCAGCCAUCCCGCGUGUGCGAUGAAGGCCUUCGGGUUGUAAAGCACUUUUUUGGCGGGAAAAAACGGCUGGGAUAAUACCCCGUGCAGCUGACGGUACCUGCAGAAUAAGCACCGGCUAACUACGUGCCAGCAGCCGCGGUAAUACGUAGGGUGCACGGCGUUAAUCGGAAUUACUGGGCGUAAAGCGUGCGCAGGCGGUUCGGAAAGAAAGAUGUGAAAUCCCAGAGCUUAACUUUGGAACUGCCAUUUUUAACUACCGAGCUAGAGUGUGUCAGAGGGAGGUGGAAUUCCGCGUGUAGCAGUGAAAUGCGUAGAUAUGCGGAGGAACACCGAUAGCGAAGGCAGCCUCUGGACAACACUGACGCUCAUGCACGAAAGCGUGGGGAGCAAACGGGAUUAGAUACCCUGGUAGUCCACGCCCUAAACGAUGUCAACUAGCUGUUGGGGCCUUCGGGCCUUGUGGCGCAGCUAACGUGAAGUUGACCGCCUGGGGAGUACGGUCGCAAGAUUAAAACUCAAAGGUGUGACGGGGACCCGCACAAGCGGUGGAUGAUGUGGAUUAAUUCGAUGCAACGCGAAAAACCUUACCUACCCUUGACAUGUCUGGAAUCCCGAAGAGAUUUAGGGUGCUCGCAAAGAGAACCGGAACACAGGUGCUGCAUGGCUGUCGUCAGCUCGUGUCGUGAGAUGUUGGGUUAAGUCCCGCAACGAGCGCAACCCUUGUCAUUGGUUGCUACGAAAGGGCACUCUAAUGAGACUGCCGGUGAUGAAACUGGAGGAAGGUGGGGAUGACGUCAAGUCCUCAUGGCCCUUAUGGGUAGGGCUUCACACGUCAUACAAUGGUCGGGACAGAGGGUCGCCAACCCGCGAGGAGCCAAUCCCAGAAACCCGAUCGUAGUCCGGAUCGCAGUCUGCCAACUCGACUGCGUGAAGUCAGAAUCGCUAGUAAUCGCGGAUCAGCAUGUCGCAGUGAAUACGUUCCCGGGUCUUGUACACACCGCCCGUCACACCAUGGGAGUGGGUUUUACCAAGUAGUUAGCCUAACCGUAAGGAGGGCGAUUACCACGGUAGGAUUCAUGACUGGGGUGAAGUCGUAACAAGGCCAA
rnacentral:rRNA from 1 species